AUUGAACGCUGGCGGCAGGCCUAACACAUGCAAGUCGAGCGGAGCGGCGGACGGGUGAGUAAUGCCUGUGAAUCUGCCUGGUAGUGGGGGAUAACGUCCGGUACCGGGCGCUAAUACCUCAUACUAUCACAUGAGCCUAGGUCGGAUUAGCUAUGUGGUGGGGUAAAGGCCUACCAAGGCGACGAUCCGUAACUGGUCUGAGAGGAUGAUCAGUCACACUGGGACUGAGAAACGGGCCAGACUCCUACGGGAGGCAGCAGUGGGGAAUAUUGGACAAUGGGCGAAAGCCUGAUCCAGCCAUGCCGCGUGUGUGAAGAAGGUCUUCGGAUUGUAAAGUACUUUCAGCGAGGAGGCGUUACUCGCAGAAGAAGCACCGGCUAACUCCGUGCCAGCAGCCGCGGUAAUAC
rnacentral:rRNA from 1 species